GAUGAACGCUGGCGGCGUGCCUAAUACAUGCAAGUCGAGCGAACGGACGAGAAGCUUGCUUCUCUGAUGUUAGCGGCGGACGGGUGAGUAACACGUGGCUAACCUACCUAUAAGACUGGGAUAACUUCGGGAAACCGGAGCUAAUACCGGAUGAUAUUUUGAACCGCAUGGUUCAAAAGUGAAAGACGGUCUUGCUGUCACUUAUAGAUUGAUCCGCGCUGCAUUAGCUAGUUGGUAAGGUAACGGCUUACCAAGGCAACGAUGCAUAGCCGACCUGAGAGGGUGAUCGACCACACUGGAACUGAGACACGGUCCAAACUCCUACGGGAGGCAGCAGUAGGGAAUCUUCCGCAAUGGGCGAAAGCCUGACGGAGCAACGCCGCGUGAGUGAUGAAGGUCUUCGGAUCGUAAAACUCUGUUAUUAGGGAAGAACAUAUGUGUAAGUAACUGUGCACAUCUUGACGGUACCUAAUCAGAAAGCCACGGCUAACUACGUG
rnacentral:rRNA from 1 species